rnacentral:rRNA from 1 species
UCCUGGCUCAGAACGAACGCUGGCGGCGUGCCUAAGACAUGCAAGUCGAGCGGGGCGGUCCCGCAAGGGGCUGCUCAGCGGCGGACGGGUGAGUAACACGUGGGUAACCUGCCCGCUGCAGGGGGAUAACAGCUCGAAAGGGCUGCUAAUACCCCAUAAGCUCACGGGGGCUGAGGCCUCUGGGAGAAAAGGGGCGCCGUAAAGGAGCCCUGGCAGCGGAGGGGCCCGCGGCCCAUCAGGUAGUUGGUGGGGUAACGGCCCACCAAGCCGACGACGGGUAGCCGGCCUGAGAGGGUGGGCGGCCACACUGGGACUGAGACACGGCCCAGACUCCUACGGGAGGCAGCAGUCGGGAAUCUUGCGCAAUGGGCGAAAGCCUGACGCAGCGACGCCGCGUGGGGGAAGAAGGCCUUCGGGUUGUAAACCCCUGUUGCCCCGGACGAAGGACCACAGGAGGAAAUGCCUGUGGGGUGACGGAACGGGGCGAGGAAGGCACGGUUAACUACGUGCAAGCAGCCGCGGUAAUACUUAGGUGGCGAUUUUUUGUUCCGGAAUGACUGGGCGUAGAGGGCCGUGUAUC